UAACUUACCUGGCGUGGGGGUUACCAUGAUCAAGAAGGCGGUUCCCUCAGGGCGAGGCCUUGUCAUUGCACUGCGACUUGGUUGACCCCUCUGCGAAUGCAACAAAUGUGGGCAUCUCGGACGCACAAUUUAUAAUAUUAGAUAGGCUAUACUAUGUUAUCUA